GGGUCAGUAGGUUGGUCGUGCCACCGGUACGUACUGGUCUCACUGAUUCCUCCUUCCUGAAGAACCGUAAUGCCAUUAAUUUGGUGUCGCGGGGAAACAGGACUGUUACUUUGAAAAAAUUAGAGUGUUUAAAGCAAGCUAACGCUUGAAUACAUUGGCAUGGAAUAAUGAAAUAGGACGAUCGAUCCUAUUUUGUUGGUUUCUAGGAUUGACGUA
rnacentral:rRNA from 1 species